rnacentral:lncRNA from 1 species
AGAUAGAUAGAUAGAUAGAUAGAUAGAUAGAUAGAUAGAUAGAUAGAUAGAUAGAUAGAUAGAUAGAUAGAUAGAUAGAUGGAUGGAUGGAUGGAUAUGCUUGAAUAGAUAGAUAUGCUUGGAUAGAUAGAUAGAUUAGAUAGGUAGGUAGGUAGGUACGUACGUAGACAGAUAGAUAGAUAGAUAGAUAGAUAGAUAGAUAGAUAGAUAGAUAGAUAGAUAGAUAGAUAGAUAGAUAGAUAGAUAGAUCUGAGACGACACUGACCAUGGGAUUGUACAUAGAAAGUUACCAUCCGAGGCAUAAGUCCGGGCAAGGUUGUUUAUGGAAGACCAGUAGUUGCCCAUGCAUAUCGGCCUCCUCUCUCCACGCCACCUGUGUUAUCCAAGGGAAAGGCAAAGGCUGAUACAGCUUGGCACCAGUGAUGUUGCAACUCAUUUCUACAGCUGAGUGAACUGGAGCAACGUGAAAUAAAGUGUCUUGCUCAAGAAGACAUCACGCAGCCCGGUCCGGGAUUCGAGCUCACAACCUCACGAUCUGUCUUAUAUAAAUGCUGAUGUCACAAAAUUUUCUAAUCUGUUUCAACAUUAUCAAUACCACCAUCAUCACCAUCAUCAUCUGUAUAUGCGUGUGUGUCUUUGACUUCGUGUUUGUCCCCCAUAUCGCCAUUUAAUAACCGGUGUUGGUAUGUUUAUCUCCCCCGUAACUUAGUGGUUCGGUAAAAGAUGAGCCAUGCGCCUUCACAAGAUAGAUAGAUAGAUAGAUAGAUAGAUAGAUAGAUAGAUAGAUAGAUAGAUAGAUAGAUAUAAGACAAAUUUCCGCAUGGUUUCUGUCGACCAAAUUUUCUCACGAGUCAUUGAUCGUCCGGUAGUUUUAGUCGACGACACUUACCUAACGUGCCGUGCUGUAGGACUGAACCCGAAACUACAUUUUUGCAAAGUCAGCUUGUUUUAGUAUUUGCUAAAUAGUAAGUAAAUUUAACAAGCUAUAGUAAACAGUUUUACUCAUUUGAAUCAAAGGUGUUCCAACUGUGACCAUCUCGUCUUUUUAAACUGGAAUGUCUCAUUGCUUCCCUUAUUUUAUCUGCCUGUCGAAAGCAUUUUCAUACGUUUAUCCUGAACGUCCAAGCUUGUUUUCAGCCUUUUCAGUUAGCUGUUGUUUUGUAUGUUCUAAGUAAUAGAAAGCAUUCCAUUGGUAGCUUAGUGGUUAGGGGCUUUUGGCUCACGAUCUUAAGGUCGUAAGUUCGAUUCCUGUUAGCGCGUUGUGACCUUCAACAAGAAACUUUAUUCCACGUUGCUCUGGCCCACUCAGCUGGCAAAAAUGAGUCGUGCCUGUAUUGUAAACGGACCAGCCUUGUCACGUUCUGUGUCACGCAGAAUCUUCCAGAGAACUACGUUAAGGGUACGCGUGUCUGUGGAGUACUCAGCCACUUGCACGUUAAUUUCACGAGCAGGCUGUUCCGUUGAUAGGAUUAGCCGCAACCCUCGUCGUUGGAUCCGACAGUGCUGGUUUAACGCUUUCUUUCCAUAAAUCCUAAGUUAGUUCAGUGGUUGAAAAUAAUCGCAGAUGUGUAUUAGAUAUGGUACAUGGACGUCAGGGAAAUGUGUCCUGUGUAAUUCAUGUGAUACACAGGAAAGGCAAAUGGUGGUGGUGGUGGUGGUGGUGGUGGUGGUGGUAUGAUGGUGGUUGUUUGUGGGGGUGGAGUAGCGAUGGCGGCGGCGGUGCGGAUAGUGGCGAUGGUGGUGGUGGCGAUUUUGGUAGUGGUGAUGGUUGUUGUUGUUGGUGGUGGUGGUAGUGGUAUGAUGGUGGUUGUUGUUGGUGGAGGUGGUGGCGAUGGUUGUUGUUGUUGUUGGUGGUGGUGGUGGCGAUUUUGGUAGUGGUGAUGGUUGUUGUUGUUGGUGGUGGUGGUGGUGGCGAUGGUUGUUGUUGUUGGUGGUGAUGGUGAUGGUGGUGGCGAUUUUGGUAGUGGUGAUGGUGGUGACGAUGGUUGUUGUUGUUGUUGGUGGUGGUGUUAGUGAUGGUGGUGGUGGUGGUGGUGGUGGUGGUGGUGGCGAUUUUGGUAGUGGUGAUGGUUGUUGUUGGUGGUGGUGGUGGUGGCGGCAGCGGUGGUUGCGGUGGCAAUAAUGCUAAUGGUGGUGUGAUAAUAAACCUUUAUGAUUUAUAUAAAUGGAAACAAUUAUUUUGUCUUGUAAUGAAAUUUGCUUAAUGUCUCUGGGUAUAAAAGUGAAAUGAUAGGAGUUUCUCUUCCUUUCUCUUUCUCUCCUUCUCUCCCUCACACGCGCACAGUAACAUAAUCUUCUACAAUUCGUGUUGCCAGUAUUUCUUCUGCUCAGCCUGUAUUUCUAAGUUUAAAUCUAUAAGCAUUAACAACAGCAAGAAGCGAACACAUCAUUAGUUUUGGUAUGUUUUUUUCGUGUUGUUGUCGUAGUCGUUGUUGUUGUUGUUUUAAUAACCCCAUGACAUAUCGUGGUUCCUGAAACUGGACCUUCUCGGCAUUCCAGCUUGGUGAUACAGGAAUAUAGUUUCAUAAACUCAAAUGGCACAUGUUUAUAAACUGCUGCUUAAAUACACCACCCAGAGGGUUAAUGCCUCAUAUGUAAUAUCUAUCUAUCCUAUCUAUCUAUCUAUCUAUCUAUCUAUCUAUCUAUCUAUCUAUCUAUCUAUAUAUAUAUAUAUAUAUAUAUAUAUAUAUAUAUAUCUUUAUAUUCAUAUAUAUAUAUAUAUAUAUAUAUCUUUAUAUUCAUAUAUAUAUAUAUAUAUGUGUGUGUGUGUGUGCGUGUGUGUGCGUGUAUGUACGUAUAUAUAUAUGUAUGUAUAUAUAUGUAUGUAUGUAUAUAUAUAUAAGUAUGUAUGUAUGUGUAUGUGUGUGUAUAUAUAUAUAUAUGCAUAUUCUCUCACACGUUCAUAUAUAAUUUAGAAUGUAAGGUAUACCUUUCUUUUUUAAUAUGCAUACCGUUUUAGCCCCAUUGUGAAUAGUAAGCAAUGAUGCAGUUACAUCAUACAUCGCAUUUUUACUUUCCAUAAGCAGGAAAAGUGAGACCUGUUCGUAACCUUUCCGAACUUACAUCUGAAAAAGAACACCUAUUUUCUGUCCACGGAGAGAUUACAUUCUAAUCGCUAUUUAUAGUGUCUACAAACUACGACUCAGCUCAACUUAUCUGUUUGAUUAGCAUAAUAGUGCAUACACUGCCAAUGCGAAUUAACUCACGCUGCACUACAUAGCAACUGGAGAUGAUCUCAAAUGUAAGAUGUACCGGAGUUCUUGUUUGUAUGCACUGUAAAUAGUUAUAAGCAACUCGUCUCUCCACGGACGUAAAAUAGAUAUUCUUUCUCUGAUGAGGUGACUAAGAAUACUAGAAACUGACGACAUCGAUCCCACGUUUUACCCAUGGGAAGAUAAAAAGUUGUAGUGUACGUACAUUGUUUACCAGUUUCAGUCAAUAGAUUGUAGCCAUGCUGGGGCACUGCCUUGAAGAAUUUUAGUCGACCAAAUCACCCCCAAGGACUUAUUUUUCAAGCCUUGUACUUAUUCUCACAGUCUCUUUUGCCGAACCACUAAGUUACUGGGAAGUAAACACACUAACACCGGUUAUCAUACAGUGGUGUGGGACAAACAAAGACAUGGUCUAGCAUGGCUGCAGUCAAAUGACUGAAACAAGUAAAGGAGUAAUAUUGUGCUGGUGGCACGUAAAAAGCACUAUCCGAACGUAGCUGAUGCCAGUGCCGCCUGACUGGCGUCCGUGUCAGUGACACGUAAAAAGCACCAACCGAUCGAGGCCGUUUGCCAGCCCCCUCUGGCCCCUAUGCUGGUGGCACGUAAAAAGCACCCACUACACUCAUGGACAGGUUGGCAUUAGGAAGGGCACCCAGCUGUAGAAACACUGCCAGAUCAGACUGGAGCCUAGUGCAGCCUUCUGGCUUCCCAGACCCCGGUCGAACCGUCCAACCCAUGCUGGCAUGGAAAACGGACGUUAAACGAUGAUGAUGGGCUUCUUUCAGUUUCCGUCUGCCAAAUCUAGUCACAGGGCUUGUUGACUAGAGGCUAUAGUAGAAGACGCCCAAUAUGUCACGCCGUGGGACCGAACCUCGAGCCAUGUGGUUGGGAAGCAAGCUUCUUAUCACACAGCUACACCUAAAACCAUGCUGUGCAUUUCAAAUUAUGCACAAACACUAUGUAGUGCACUAGGAAAUUUUGUGUGUGUGUGUGUGCGCGCAUGUAUGUAUAUUCUCAAGGUGCGAAAGGUAUUUGAAGACAUAUUCUUUUUUUUUUACUCAUUUACUUGACUGCGGCCAUGCUGGAGCACCGCCUUUAGUCGAGCAUAUCGACCCCAUAGCUUAUUCUUUGUAAGCCUAAUAUUUAUUCUAUCGGGCUCUGUUGCUGAACCACUAAGUUACGGGGACGUAAACACACCAGCAUCGGUUGUCAAGCGAUGUUGGGGAGACAAACACAGACACACAAACACACACACAUAUAUAUAUAUAUAUAUACAUAUAUAUGACAGGCUUCUUUCAGUUUCUGUCUACGAAAUCCACUCACAAGGCUUUGGUCGGCCCGAGGCUAUAGUAGAAGACACUUGCCCAAUGUGCCACGCAGUGGGACUGAACCCAGAAUCAUGUGGCUGGUAAGUAAGCUACUUACCACACAGCCACUCCUGCGCCUAAAUGUAUGUAGAUCACCACUGGAGGAAUUCAAACUCACGGCCUCUAGAUGAGAAGUCCAGCACGCUAUCUCUUGCGCUACAGAGACUUAUUUGCUAAUUUAAUAAAAUAACUUUAAUGUAGCAAAAACCAAAUGUAUUCUAAGAAACACAUGUUCUUGGUAAGCUUCUUUUUUAUUGGUUUCUUAUGAGGAGAGGAUAAGUCGAUUAUAUCAACCGCAGAGUUCAACUGGUACUUAUUUUAUUGACCUUGAAAGGAUGAAAGGCGAAGUCAACCUCGUUGGCAUUUGAACUCAGAACAUUAAGAUGGACGAAAUGUCGCUAAGCCUGGUGUACUAAUGAUUCUAUCACCUGACCGCAACCGCACGGCUGAAACGAGUAAAAAAGUAAAAGUCUGGGAAUCGAAACCACCACCUAACUUUAAUUAAAUAUCAAGAUUAGCAAAAUUUAUCAUGACGAGCUUAAAUGAAGAAAUAAUUAAAGAAAUAAAGAAAGGAAAUAAAAAACAUGUCAAAUGUUAUCAUUAUUAUUUUGAACAAGCGACCAUGAAAAAUAUGCUGAGCUAGCUGGUAUUACUCAUCUUCAUUGAACUAUUAACUUGUUUACUAACUUUAUCUAAGAGUCUGUGAAAUCACUUUGUGCUCCGGUGGAUGCUUACUGACGAGGUAUUGUGCUCCCAUUAAUAAAAUUGCCACAUUACGUGUGACCAGAUAGAAUGGGCCGCAGUCUCUUCUCCCCAUCUGUGUGUGUCUUGUAUAUAAGUUCAUCAAUUACUCAUAAGAAGUUAGCGAUCCAGAGCUUGUCCUCAACGUAACUAGAAAGCGUGUCAGUAAAUUUUUUUUAAAGCUAUACACGCAUGCUUUUACUUGAUGUCUGAAAUAUGUUCUUCGCUUUAAUUCUUCUAAGUUAUUUGUCACGAAAGGAAAUUUAAAACUGAUCUAAAAAUAGACUUUCACAAAAAGGAAGAAAAUAAUUAAAAGAUAUUAUUGUUGUUAUUGUUAAGUUGAGAAACUGACAGUAUCAUUAGUAUUCCGGACAAAAUGCUUAGCAACAUUUCUGCCGAUUCUUUAAGCUCUGAGUUCAAAUUCCGCCGGGAUCGAAUUGCAUUUUACACUUUCGGGGUCGAUAAAAUAAGUACCAGUUGAACACUGGGAUCAGUAUGAUUGACUUACCUCUGCCCCAAAAUUGCUGGCCUUGUGCCAAAAUUUGAAACUAUUAUUAUUAAAGGGGGCAAGCUGGCAAAAUUGUUAGCACACCAGGUAAAAUGCUUAGUGACAUUUCUUCUGAGUUCAAAUUCCUCCGAGGUCGACUUUGCUUUUCAUCCUUUCAGGGCGAUGAAAUAAGCACUGUUGAGCACUAGGGCUAAUACAAUUGACCAGUUGUCAUCAACUGGAAUCUGAGUGAUGUCCAGCGUAUGGACAAAAAGACCGGGAAACCGCCGAUCCUAAACAGGAUGCACCACCCAAAAUCAGAUGUCUACAGGCUCUAUCUUCUACAAAGGAAAGGCGGCAAAUGCUUAAUCCAGCUUGAAACAUCCUAUAAAACGACCAUGAUAGGACUUCAAGGGUACAUCCAGAGUAACACCGACUGGACGAUACAGCUGGUAAGGCAACACACGAACAGAGUAAGAAACUGCACUCAAUCUUAAAGGAUUAUGAAGAUAAGGAGAGCACAUCACCCACUAAGGCAGCAAAAAAAAGUUUAAAUCAAAAGCCAAACAGGAAAGCUUGAAGAAAAACCAUUGUAUGGGCAAUACCCUAAACAAGCUGGGGAAUCUGAUGUAGAUAUAAGAAGAACCCCUUAUUGACUGCAGAGUGUUGGUUUGAAAGCUGAAAGAGAAGGAUUCAUCCUAGCAACACUAAACCAGAGUCUCCUCACCGGGGACUAUCAAGUUAAUGUCACACUCAAUGAAGUAGACACAAAGUGUAGACUCUGCAAUGACGAACUUGAGAGUAUUGAUCACAUCGUUGCCAGUUGCUCUUGCACCUACUGAAUAUAAAACCAGGCAUGAUCGAGUUGGCCAAUACUUGUACUGGAGCAUAUGUUGUCACUAUGGUAUCCCGUACCUAAGAACUGGUAUGAACAUCUCGAGUCAAUCACUAGGGGAGAGAAUGUUACCAUCCUAUGGGAUUUUGGAAUACAUACAGACAGGCAAAUAAAUGCUAACACACCAGACAUCGUCAUCAAAAACCUAAAACAAAAAACAUGCCUGUUAAUUGACAUAACAUUGCCUACUGAUAGAAAGAUCUGAGUAAAGGAAUUUGAAAAAAAAAUUCAAAUAUAAGGACUUGAGAUUGAAGUAUCUAGGAUGUGGUAGUUAAAAACCAAAACCAUUCUUGUUGUUGUAGGUGUCUUGGGAAUGAUCAAGAAAGGUACUGACAACAUUUUUGAUCAGACCCUGAGAAACCAAAAGUCUAUGAGACUCAAAAAGUUGUUGACAUCAACCGCCCAUAUUCUCAGAAAGUUUCUCUCCAUUUAAUUUAUACUUGUCUUAGGUCAGAUGAUGAAAUAAAAUGCAAUUCAACCAGAAAAAUGAUAAUAAUAAUAAUCCUUUCUAAUAAAGGUUCAAGGCCUGAAAUUUUGGAGGAGGGGUCUAGUCAAUCAUAUCAACGCCAGUGUUUCACUGGUACUUAAUUUAUUGACCUCGAAAAGAUGAAAGGUAAAGUUGGCCUUGGCAGAAUUUGAACUAAGCCUUCUCGGCAUGCUAACAAUUCUGCCAGCUCGCCGUCUUUUUAAUAAUAACUAUUAUUUCAAAAUUUUGCCACAAGGGCAGCUUGGGGGAGGGAGGGGAUGAGUCGAUUACAUCGACCCCAGUGUUCAACUGGUACUUAUUUUAUCGAUCCUGAAAGGAUGAAAGGCAAAGUCGACCUGCGCAAAAUUUGAACUCAGAACAUAGCGACGGGCGAAAUACCACUAAGCAUUCUGCCUGGUGCGCUAACGAUUCUGCCAGCUCGUCGUCUUUUUAAUUAUGAUAAUGGUAACGAUUUCUUACACUUGGUUUCAACUGUAGGACAAGUGUAAAUGUAUGGUUGAUUAGAUUAACACUAGCGUAUAACCGAUAUUUAAUCUGUUGAUUCCUUUUCUCUCAAGGGGCCAAUUAGAAAAAAAAAGCUAAGUUAACACUGGGAAAAUUAAAAGCUAAGUAAACACUUAAGCAUUUUCCUGAUAUUCUCAUAUAUACGUCAGUCUUCUCCUCGACACUCUUUCAUGUCACUGACUUCCAGCAAUUCCAAGAAUUCUAAGGAGCAUUCUUGAGACUUGAGGAAAUUUUUUGUCACCAAACCUCAAAAUGAAAUACUUCCUAAAUUAAUCAGCAUGCAAUUGCGUAAUAGAAAUGGUUUCAAAUUUUGGCUCAAGGUCAGCAAUUCCAGGGGAGAGUGUAAGUCGAUUAUGUUGAUGCCAGUGAUCAGCUGAUACUUCAUUUAUCGACCCUGAAAGGAUGAAAGGCAUUUGAACUCGGAACUUAGAGAUGAACAAAACGUUAUGGAUUUUAGCCAGGGUGCUAAUGAUUCUACCAGCUUGCUGCCUUAAAUAGUAAUAAUAAUAAUGGUUUCAUAUUUUGGCACAAGGCCAGCAAUUUUGAAGGAGGGGGUAAGACGGUUACAUCGAUCUCCGUGUUCAACUGGUAUUUAUUUCAUUGACCCCUAAUGAUUCUGUCAGCUCUCUGCCUUAACAUGGCCACAAUAUUGAUUUCAGAUUUUAAUGCAAGGCUAGUAAGUUCAGAUCAAUAAUAAUAAUAAUAAUGAUCUUUUCUACUAUAGGUGCAAGGUCUAAAAUUUUGGUGGAGGGGGAGGAUGAUUCUGUCUUCCUGCUGUUCAUGUUCUGAGUUCAAGAUUGAUAAAAUAAGUACCAGUUGUACACGGUGGUCAAUAUAAUCGACUAACACUCUUCCAGAAAAAUUUCAGGCCUUGUGCCUAUAGUAGAAAGGAUUAUUAUUAUAUUGUUAUUAUUAUUAACGGAUUUCGAUUCCCAGACCGGGCGUUGUGAGUGUUUAUUGAGCGAAAACACCUAAAGCUCCACGAGGCUCCGGCAGGGGAUGGUGGUGAUCCCUGCUGUACUCUUUCACCACAACUUUCUCUCACUCUUACUUCCUGUUUCUGUUGUACCUGUAUUUCAAAGGGCCGGCUUUGUCACUCACUGUGUCACGCUGAAUAUCCCCGAGAACUACGUUAAGGGUACACGUGUCUGUGGAGUGCUCAGCCACUUACAUGUUAAUUUCACGAGCAGGCUGUUCCGUUGAUCGGUCAACCGGAACCCUCGUCGUCGUAACCGACGGAGUGCUUCCACAUUAUUAACGGAGUCGUUAGGAUGUUGGACAAAAUACUUAGCAGCUUUUCUUCUCGUCCUUUAUGCUCUGAGUUCAAAUUCUGCCGAGGUCGACUUUGCCUUUCAUCCUUUUGGGAACGAUAAAAUAACUACCAGUUUAAUACUGGGAUCGAUGUAAUCAACUUACCACUUCCCCCUCAUUACCAUCACCCCAAAAAAUGUCAAACCUCAUGCCUAAAGCAGAAAGGAUCAUUUUCAUCGGGGUCGAUUAAAUGAAGCACCGGUCAAAUACUGGAUCGUUGAUAUCGACAACUACCCAUCCCCUCAAAAUUGCUGGCCUCAUGACUAAAUAGGAAAUCAUUCCUAUGCGUUUGUAAAUAAGACUCCAGCCUUCUCUAUGCCACCACCACUACCACCACUACCGCCACCAUCAUUGUGACUGUUACACAUACAGAGAGAGAGAGAGAGAGAGAGAGAGAGAGAAAGAGAGAUUCCCAGCAGAAUACUCUGUUUGCAAUAAAGCUAUUAUAAUAGGUCAGUGAUGUCAGAGCAUAGUUUUUAGUUUAUUAUUAACUCUAAUUGCACUUCAUCUAAUUAGAUGUUAAUUUAGAGAUGGGAAAAAAUUCUCCAUCAUUAACGUUAUUAAUAAAGUUAAUUAUGCAAUUUAAAACACAACACACACGUAUAGAUAUUGACAUAUACAAACACAUAAAUAUACACAAGCCUCUCUCUCUCUCUCUCUCUCUAUAUAUAUAUAUAUAUAUAUAUAUAUAUAUAUGUAUCUAUCUCUCCACACAUACACAAACACACACAUGUCUAUAUAUGUAUGUAUAUAUGUAUAUGUAAAUGCGUAUAUUUUACAAGAUACAUACAUGCAUACACAUACAUAGAUAUAAUAUAUAUACACAUAUUUUACAUAUACAUACGUACACACACAUCUCUCUCUCCCUCUCUCUCUCUCUCUCUCUCUCUCUCUCUAUAUAUAUAUAUAUAUAUAUAUAUAUAUAUAUAUACUGGCAGUGCUCCACCAUGGCCACACCCUCUUGAAUGAAACAUAUAAAAGAAUAUGGUUGUGUGUACACAUGCAUGUGUGUGCACACGUUCUUAUGCACACGUGAAUGGUUGGUGCGAGUUUCGGCUUUGCUCAGAUUUUCUCGUUUCCAUUCUUGGAUAUUCUUGAAACGGGGCUGAUUUGGGCAACGGUUAUGACAAUAUGAUCUCGAAGAUCGAAGACCAUCAACAGUUUCCAAUUUUAAACACACACACACACAAAACCACACACAUUUUUGUAUGAAGUCGUUGGACACUUUGACCAUGACCUUUUGAGGCACUUUUACUCUGGAAGAGAGAAAGAGAGAGAGAGAGGGAGAAAUAAGGAGAGAAUAUGGGUGAAGCAAGUGCUGUUCUGUGAUGUUUGAUUUGACUUGUGCGUUUAAUGGUUGGGCGGGAUGAGAAAUACGAGAAGUGGGGAUGAAAAAAACAGGCUAAAUAUUUAAGUGCAAGGAUUCUAAUACGAGGGCAAGUGGGGUGAGACUAGUGAAUCAUAUAGCUUUAGGUGUGUCUGUAGGAGUGUGUGGGUGCUGAGAGCAUGACAUUGUAUGAGUAAUUUCAGAACACCCGGUCCUUGUUGUUGUUGUUUUUGUGUAGUUUCCAUGGUGUAAAUAUAGUCAGUCGAAAUACUGGGCUAUGAUGCACAGAAUUAGUUACGUGUCUUCUACUCUAACCUCGGGGCUUGCUUCCCAGCCACAUGGUUCUGGGUUCAGUCUCACUGUGUGGUACCUUGGGGCAAAUGUCUUCUAUAUAGCCGACCAGAGCCUUGUGAGUGGAUUUGGAUGGCGGAAACUGAAUGAAACCCGUCGUAUCAUAUAUAUGUAUAUAUAUAUAUAUAUAUAUAUAUAUAUAUAUAUAUAUAUAUAUAUAGGAGCACUCCGUCGGUUACGACGACGAGGGUCCCAGCUGAUACGAUCAACGGAACAGCCUGCUCGUAAAAUUAACGUGCAAUUGACUGAGCAAUCCACCGACACGCGUACCACUUACGCAGUUUUCAGGGAGAUUCAGUGUGACACUGAGUGUGACAAGGCCGGUCCUUUCAAAUACAGGUACAACUCACUUUUGCCAGCUGAGUGAAUUAGAGCAACGUGAAAUAAAGUGUCUUGCUCAAGGACACAACGCAUCGCCAGGAAUCGAACUAACGACCUUACAAUCCAGCCAUUCGCCUUCAUAUAUAUAUAUAUAUAUAUAUAUAUAUAUAUAUAUAUAUAUUUCUUUAUUGCCCACAAGGGGCUAAACAUAGAGGGGACAAACAAAGACAGACAAAGGGAUUAAGUCGAUUACAUCGACCCCAGUGCGUAACUGGUUCUUUAUUUAUCGACCCCGAAAGAUGAAAGGCAAAGUCGACCUCGGCGGAAUUUGAACUCAGAACGUAACAGCAGGCGAAAUACGGCUACGAAAUACGGCGAAGAAGACUUACUGAAAUGAUUCAUGAUCGUUGCUGUGUGAAGCCCUUUUAUGACUUUUAAGCCUGUCCAAGCUUUUACACAUUUUAUUACAUACUAAUCAACUGUGCUGGCUGGCAAGAAAAACAGGUGUCACCAUAUGCGCUCUCUUAACAUAUCUUUUUAGUAUUCCACCUGAGAAGCACACCUUUCCACAUUUUACACAUGUUCUGUUAUGAAUUUUAAUACCCGGAUCAUUGUUUACCAUAGGUCGAUUUCUAUAUAUUUUAUGUAUAUAAAAUUAACAGAAUGAGAUAAAAAAAAAUCCAAGGCUAUGAAAGAUUUCAGAACAAUUAUAAAGAGAAGGCCUUACAGCUGUUUCCGGGAUAUUUUAUAUAUCCCUUCAUCAGAGAUGGUGCGAGAAAAUGGUUAAGCAAUAGUUACAAUAGAGAAGAUAUAAAAUAACCUAUAUAUAUAUAUAUAUAUAUAUAUAUAUAUAUAUAUAUAUAUAUAUAUAUACUACUUCUACUAAUAUAGGAUAAACUUUUUUUCAGAAAAGAUUUCAUCAAAAGUGGCAGCAUACUAAAAUUCCUUUAAAGAUUAAAAUCAUAAACAACUUAUAAACAAGGGCAAAAGAAAAAUUAUUUCUGUGCUAAUAUGCUGAUAACGGACUUUUAGAUCGUCAAUUUCCACAUUACAAUAUAUAGUGAAUGUAUAUUGUUAUGUGGAAAUUGACGAUUUAAAGUCUGUUCUCAGCAUAUUGGCAUUGAAAUAAUUUUUCUUUUGCCCUUGUUUAUAAGUUGUAUAUAUAUAUAUAUAUAUAUAUAGUCAAUUCAAAAACAGGAAAAACACAAACAUUGGGACGUAGUACAAGGAAUGUAUUAAUAUGACGCUUGGAGAAAGAAAAGAGUUGUUGUUGUUUUACGUUUUGAACAUAGCUCUUUGUUGGAAACAGGAUAGUCCAAAGGGAAAGAAAGAAGGUGGGGAAAAUCACCAAAAGUCCACGUGUGGUUACAUGUAUAUAUAUAUGUGUGUGUAUGUGUGUGUGUGUGUAUCUAUAUGUGCCUUUGUGUCUGUGUUUGUUCUCGCACCACCACUUGACCACCGGAGUUGGUAUAUUUAUGUCCCCGUAACUUAGCAGUUUGGCAAAACAAGACUGAUGGAAUAAGUACCAGGCUUUAAAAGUCAUGGAUGCCUGUAGUAAAAACAAGUAAAAUAUAAAACGUGUGAUCGUGUGUGUGUGUUUGUGUCUGUGAUUGUCUCCACCACUGCUUGACAACCAAUGUUGGUAUGUUUACAUUCCUGAACUUAGUAGUUCAACAAAAGACACCGAUAGAAUAAGUACCAGCCUUUAAAAAAGUACUGGUGUCAAUGUAUACAUUCAUGCAUGCCUACCUGCCUACUUACCUACCUACCUACCUACAUACACACAUACAUAUAUACAUACAUACAUACUUAAAUAACAUACAUACAUACAUGCUUAAAUAACAUACAUAGAUGCAUAAUAUACAUAUAUACAUGACAUACAUAUAUACAUAACAUACAUACAUACAUACAUACAUACAUAUAUACAUAACAUGCAUAUAUUCAUAACAUACAUACAUACAUACUUACAUAACAUGUAUUCAUAACAUACAUACAUACUUACAUAACAUGCAUACAUAUAUACAUAACAUACAUACAUACAUAACAUACAUAUAUACAUAACAUACAUACAUAUAUACAGAACAUACAUAACAUAUAUACAUACAUACAUACAUAACAUACAUAUUUACAUACAUACAUAUAUACAUAACAUACAAAAAAAUUCUACAAAAUUUUUUUGCCACCCUAUAUUGAUUAAUUACAUAACAUACAUAUAUACAUAACAUACAUACAUACUUACAUAACAUACGUACAUACAUACAUAUAUACAGAACAUACAUAACAUACAUACAUACAUACAUACAUACAUACAUACAUACAUACAUGCAUGCAUGCAUACAUAAGAUUGGCUGCGAUGAAUCGAUUAAAAUAACGUGUUGGGGAGAGUUUUAAGCAGACUAUCUCGUAAUUGAGUCUCCCUGGGACCCCCGAGAGAGGCGAGUCACGUACUUAUAAACAACAUUUAGAUCCAUCACUAAUUCCAUCAUCAUCAUCAUCACCAUCAUCAUCAUCAUCAUUGUCAUCAUCAUCAUCAUCAUCACUAUCAUCAUUAUCCUAAUCACCGUCAUCAUCAGUGCCCCAUCAUCGUCAUCGUCGUCAUAGUCACCAUGCUCGUCAUCACCGUCACUAUGCCAAAAGCAUGUUGGACAUGACUCAAUGAAUCAGACAUAUUAAUCCUCAAGAAAACAGAAAUCAUUUUAAAAUCAAUCUCAUUUAUUUAUUUAUUUAUUUGUUUUUUUGUUUUUUUGUUUGUUUGUUUGUUUAUUUAUUUAUUCGUUCAUUUAUUUAUUGAGAAGGUUUUGGUGAAGGUUCGUUUCCCUGUUAAAGCUUGAAAUAAGCCAGAUUUGUGUUUAUUUUAACUUUCCGUGCCACUACUUCGAGUCCAGUUGCUGAUAACGUUCACGUUGGUUCUGUUAUACUGUUCAUAGUCUCCCUCGCCCACCACCAACACGUGGUGGACUUAAUCCGUUGUCCAUUUUAAUAACUCCACUGCCUAGUCCUUGGGUGCAUUUCGUCGUGUCCGUUCUGUUGGAAGCAUUUGAGUGACUGAGGGUAAGAUCCUUGUUUUCCUCCUACCAAGUUUCAUCGAUGAUGAUGAUGAUGAUGAUGAUGAUGAUGAUGAUGAUGAUGAUGAUGUUGAAGAUGAUGACGAUGAUGAUGAUGAAGGAUGAUGAUGAUGAUUGUGGUGGUGGUGAUGAUUGUGAUGAUGAUGAUGAUAGUGAUGAUGACGAUGAUCAUGAUGGUGAUGAUGAUGUUGACGGUGAUGACGAUGAUGAUGAAGAAUGAUGAUGAUUGUGGUGGUGGUGAUGAUUGUGAUGAUGAUGAUGAUGAUGAUUGUGGUGGCGGUGGUGAUGGUAGUAGUGGUGGUGAUGGCAAUGAUGAUGGAGAUGGUGGUGGUCGUCAUGGUGGUUGUGGUGGAGUUGAUGCUUAUGAUAAUGCUGAUGAUGAUAAAGCUGGUGAUGAUGAUGAAAAUGAUGGUGGUGGCGGUUUUGAUGAGGAUUAUGAUGAUAAUGAUAAGAAUGAUGAUAACGACACUGCUGCCCAUCUUAAUCUGACUAAACAAUAAACAAAAUACACCUCUUAUGCUUUUGAGAUACUCAGGUCAUUGCGCAUGUGCACGCACACCCACACACACAACCUCCCUUACAAGAAAAGGCCAUGCUUAACACUUCCAUGCCUGGCAUCACACCACACCAUGCAUCUGACUUGGGCUGGAUGCAUCCUGCAGUAUUGUUUUUCUUCACAAGAGCAUCUAUGAUUACUAACUCUUGUUCUUAAAGAAUAGAGUGGCGUGGCCAUUGAACCCCGUGUAAGAUGUGACCCAUUAAAACCAGACUUUAGGUACUGAAACGAAGAGAAAGCAUACAUGUUAGCAAACGAUCUAAUCAGUAGGACGGUUAUUGCUUCUCUCAGAAUCGACUGCGUCUCUUAAUAUCCCUGCCUAUAAAUGGACUUCCAGAAAGGACUGCGAGAGGCGACACCAUAUCAGUGGCACAGAAACUGGCUUUAUGCUAAUUAAUCAUGUGUCCUUUCUCUAGAUGCGAUUUAGGAGGUCACCUCUAUGAAGAGUAAACAGUUGGAGAAAAAAGGGUUGUAAGAGUCACAAAAUAGGGAGUGCCAGGUAGUCAUAGGUGCUGUCCUUUCUUCUCUAAGCUGUCACAAGACAAAUCAUACGGUGAUCCUCAAAUACAGUCCCUGUUAAAACAUUUAAGAUUUAUUUAUUUAUUUAUUUACUUUUAUUUAUAUAUUCAAUAUUUGGAAGGAAAUUUUUCUAUUUCGUUUAAUUUUCAUAGCAGGAUCAGUGGUGAUGGUAGUAGUAGUAGUAGUGGUGGUGGUGGUGGUGGUGGUGGUGGUGGGGAGAUGUACUGGUUGUAGUUAUUGAUUCAGGGGUGUGGAACAUAGUUUAUCUAGAGGCGCACACAAUUCUUAACCUUGAAGAAACUGCUUGCCCCCACUUUUCCCCCAGGGAAACUUUCAGAAUUCCAGAAAAGAAAUUUGGUUGAUUCAGUUGGGCUGCUGCUUUUUGGCUGAAGAAUUCUUUUAUCAUUAUUUCUUCAAUUUUUGCUAUUAUUUAUUUUUCUUUAAUGUUGAUUUUAAGGAUUAAUGUCAGGCUGUUAAUGUUAGUAAAAUAAACGAAGAUUUUUUUAAAUCAUUAUUAAUAUUUCUUAAGGCAACAAGCUGGCAGAAUCAUUAGCAUGCUGGACAAAGUGCUUAACGGUACUUCGCCCGUCUUUGCAUUCUGAGUUCAAAUUCUGCCAAGGUCGACUUUGCCUUUCAUCCUUUCGGGGCCGAUAAAUUAAGUACCACUCAAGUACUAAUUACCCCCUCCCCUCAAAUUCCAGGCCUUGUUCCUAUUGUAGAAAAGUUUAUUAUUAUGAUUUCUCAAUUCACUCAGUGUGUUAAGGCCCGUGGCCUAAUGGUUAGGGUUGUUGAACUCACGAUUUUGCGAUCGUGGUUUCAACUCCUGGACCCGGCAGUGCAUUGUGUUUUUGAGUUAAGCACUUCAUUUCACAUUGCCCCCAGUCCACUCAGGCGUAAAUGGCAUCUUGUUCAAGGAGACUAUUUUAAUUUCAGUCAUGGAUCUUCAUUUUCAACGAUACUCUGUUUGUUGUCAUAGCAGCAAACAGUUUCGACUUCCGCUUGGCUAAAAAUAUAUACAGUAAUUCCUCGCCUUAUCGCGGUUCACCUAUCGCGGUUUAUUUAAGCUUAUGUCAAUUCCUCUGUGGUGUUGUUUUGCAUUUAUAAUAAAACGAGCAAAACGUACCCACCCCCCGUCCAAUGGACGGUGCUGAGUUGUCAAACAUUUAAACCAAAUUUUCUCAAAACAACAUGUCCGACCAUCCCAUAGGCCUCCUCUUUGAGAAACACUGGUUUAACCUAAAUUUGAGAUACCAGCAAAAGAAGAAAUAAAGAUAGAUUUUUUUUCUUUUCCAAAGAAAAACGAUUUUAUUCACACAACGCGUAGUAUCGAUCGCAACAGCUGAUGUACUUGCGCGUACAAAUGCACGUUUCCACGGCUUUAUCGAUUGCAUUCUCACCUGGAUCGAUUUUUAAAAUUUUUUCAUGACUUAUACACGCCCUAAUACCGUUGGUAUCUACAUAUCAAAUUUAAGCACAAUCAGAUGCAGGAUAUAUAUAUAUUAAUAUUAUAUAUAUAUAUAUACACACAUACAUGUAUAUAAAUAUAUAUAUAUAUAUAUAUAUAUAUAUAUAUAUAUAUAUAGGCGUAGGAGUGGCUGUGUGGUAAGUAGCUUGCUUAUGGACCACAUGGUUCCGUGUUCAGUCCCACUGCAUGGCACCUUGGGCAAGUGUCUUCUAUAGCCUCGGGCCAACCAAAGCCUUGUGAGUGGAUUUGGUAGAUGGAAACUGAAAGAAGCCCGUCGUAUAUAUGUAUAUAUAUAUAUAUGUGUGUGUUUGUGUUUGUGUGUGUGUUUGUCCCCCCAACAUCGCUUGACAACCAAUGCUCGUGUGUUUACGUCUCCGUAACUUAGUAGUUCGGCAAAAGAGACUGAUAGAAUAAGUACUAGGCUUACAAAGAAAAAGUCCUGGGUCGAUUUGCUCGACUAAAGGCGGUGCUCCAGCAUGGCCACAGUCAAACAAGCAAAAGAGUGAAGAGUAAGAGUAAAAGAGUAUAUAUAUAUACUUUUUUUACUUGUUUCAAUCAUUUGACUGCGGCCAUGCUGCAGCACCAGCUUUAUAUAUAUACGACGGGCUUCUUUCAGUUUCCAUCUACCAAAUCCACUCACAAGGCUUUGGUCGGCCCGAGGCUAUAGUAGAAGACACUUACCCAAGGUUUCACUGAACCCGGAACCAUGUGGUUGGUAAGCAAGCUACUUACCACAUAGCCCACAGCCACUCGUGUAUAUAUAUAUAUAUAUAUAUAUAUGCAAUGUACCUACAGGUAGUUGUGUUUGUAACAUUCAUCAAGGGGGGAAAAAAAUCUCAGAGGAAUCAUAGCUCUUCAACCAAAAUCCUCUCUUGGUAUUUAGUUGUGUACCGAGUUAACAGACAGACAUUCCUUUGUCACUGUCGCCAAGGUUUCCAUCCCUUCUCCUUAAAUGUGCUUUGUUUGUGUUCCCUAGUUUUCGCUGUCAGCUGAGUUUAUUAUCCCAAUUAUGAAACUGGGGCAAAUACUAUUGCAGUUUUUCCGUUUGUUUUGAUUUGGCCUAAUGGAGGAACUUCUUAAAGAUUUUCCGUCGUGGACAUCAUUAUCAUCAUCAUCAUCAUCACCACUAUUAUUAUUACUGUUGUUGUUAUUAUUAUUAUUAUUAUUAUUAUUAUUAUUAUUAUUAUUAUUAUUAGUGUUAUUAUUAUUAUUAUUGUUAUUAUUAUUGUUAUUAUUAUCAUUAUCAUUAUUAUUAUUAUUAUUAUUAUUAUUAUUAUUAGUAGUAGUAGUAGUAGUAGUAGUAGUAGUAGUAGUAGUAGUGGUGGUGGUGGUGGUGGUGGUGGUGGUGGUAGUAGUAGUAGUAGUAGUAGUAGUAGUAGUAGAUUCUUCCACACUACCGAACUCAGCUCUGUGAGCCCUUGGUAUGUGUUGUGGUUUGUUUUCGUGUUAUUUUUACUGUACUGAAAAGUGCUCUACGUAGGCCAUCAUCAUCAUCAUCAUCAUUAUUAAGGCGGCGAACUGGCAGAACCGUUAACACGGUUCUGCCAGUUCACGGGGAAAAUGCAGCAUUUCGUCCAUCUUUACGUUCUGUGUUCAAAUUCCGCCGAGGUCGACUUUGCCUUUUAAUCCUUUCGGAGUCGAUAAAUUAAGUACCAGUGAAACACUGGGGCCAAUAUAAUCGAUUAGUUCUCUCCCGCCAAAUUUCUGACCUUGUGCCUAUUGUAGAAAGUAUUAUUAUUAUAAUUAUUAUAAUUAUUAUUAUUAUUAUUAUUAUCAUUGCGUUCUUCUAUACUCCUGAGUACAGCUCUGUGGGCCCUUUGUUUUCGUGUUGCUAUUUUUACUGUACUAAAAGUGCUCUACGUAGGUUAUUAGUAUCAUCAUUAUCAUCAAUACUGAGGCGGCGAGCUGGCUGAAUCGUUCGCACGCCGGACAAAAUGUUUAGCGGCAUUUCGUCCGUCUUUACGUUCUGAGUUCAACUUUGCCUUUCAUCUUUCCAAAGGUCAAAAAAAAAAAGUAAUAAGUACCAGUUACUCAUUAGGGGUCGAUGUAAUUGACUUACCCCUUGCCCCGAAAUUACUGGCCUCGUGACAAAAUUUGACACCAGUAAAUUCCACCAAGGUCGAUUUUUACCUUUUAUCUUAUCAGAUAAAAUAAGUACCAGUUAUUCACUAGGGAACAAUGUAAUCGACUUACUCCCUUCCCCCGAAAUUGCUGGCCUUGUGCCAAAAGUUUGUAACCAUUACUGAUAUUAUUACUGUUAUUAUUACGGCUACAAGUUCGUCUGACUCAAGAUAAACGACGGUGAAGUCGUGUAACUGCUUGCGGGCGUUCGGUCGUCUGCAAUCUUCAUAUUCAAACAACACUUGACAGACGAAACAUAAAUUACACUCCAAGUUGCUUGAACAGCCGAUUGGGUUUACUUGGUAGUGACUAAGUGCAGAAAGUAUUCUAGUAGUAAUAGUAGUAGUAUCAGCAGCAGCAGCAGCAGCAGCAGCAGCAAAAUUGACUUUUUGUAAUAUAUUUUAUUUGGAUUGUUUUUACUACUACUACUACUACUACUACUACUACUACUACUACUACUACUACUACUACUACUACUACUACAAUUACUACUACUACUACUACUACUACAAUUACUACUACUACUACUACUACUACUACUACUACUACUACUACUACUACUGCUACUGCUCCUGCUGCUGCUGCUGCUGCCGCCACCACCACCACCACAACCACCAUCACCACCAUCACCACCACCACUACUAUUACUACUACCAUCAUCACCAGUACUAUUAUUAUUACAUAGUUUCCGUCGUCGUAAGUUGUACAGAUCUAGGUCAACCCUAGAUCAAACAGAGCCUGUUGUCAAAGGCAUUCCAGCCACGACUAUCCCGUUUACUCAACCAGGAUCUACACUUGAUAAUGAUUCACUGUAUAUGCCACUUUUAACGGUAGUGUUGUAAUUUGAAGGAGAUUUGGCUACUAUUGAUAUUUCUCGUAAAUCAGGCGACCGUGUUGAGUUUCACCCUCAUCAGUUCAACGUUGUUGCUGUUGCAUGUUUUUGCUUUAACCCCUGAAGGCGGCAAGCUGGCAGAAACGUUAGCACACCGGUCGAAAUGCUUAGCGGUAUUUCGUCUGCCGUUACGUUCUGAGUUCAAAUUCCGCCGAGGUCGACUUUGCCUUUCAUCCUUUCGGGGUCGAUAAAUUAAGCACCAGUUACGCACUGGGGUCGAUGUAAUCGACUUAAUACCUAUGUCUGUCCUUGUUUGUCCCCUCUAUGUUUAGCCCCUUGUGGGUAAUAAAGAAAUAGGUAUUUCGUCUACUGUUACGUUCUGAGUUCAAAUUUCGCCGAGGUCGACUUUGUCUUUCAUCCUAUCGGAGUCGAUAAAUUAAGUACCAGUUACUCACUGGGGUCAAUGUAAUCGACUUAAUCCGUUUGUCUGUCCUUGUUUGACCCCUCUAUGUUUAGCCCCUUGUGGGCAAUAAAGAAAUAAGAAACGUUAGCAAGCCGGUCGAAAUGCUUAGCAGUAUUUCGUCUGUCUUUACGUUCUGAGUUCGAAUUCCGCCGAGGUUGAUUUUGCUUUUCAUCCUUUCGGGAUUAACAAAUUAAGUACCAGUUACGCACUGGGGUCGAUGUAAUCGACUUAAUCCCUUUGGCUGUCCGUGUUUGUCCUCUCUAUGUUUAGCCCUUUGUGGGCAAUAAAGAAAUAAGAAUCGUUAAGCACGCCAGGCAAAAUGCUUAGCGGCAUUUCGUCCUUUUUUAUGCUCUGAGUUCAAAUUCUGCCAUGGUCGACUUUGCCUUUCAUCCUUUCAGGGUUGAUAAAACAGGUACCCUUUGUGAACUGGAAUCGAAGUCAUGAACAUAUCCCUCCCCUAAAUUGCUAGCAUUAAACCAAAAUUUGAAGCCCUUGUUCAACACCUGAUUAAGCUAACACAUAAGAUCAAAGACGUUCCACCCAUAACCAUAUCGUUUUUUUUUUAUUCAGACGCACCCUUCCCUUUUCUUUUAAGAUUGUGUAGCCCUGAUACAAAGGAAGUUUAUUUGUUAUUUUAGCAGAUAGAAGGACCACUUAGAGGGUCUCCCGUUGUCUCAUCGAGUCAUCAUUGUUGUUCCUCUUUCUCUUUAGUUCAAUGCUAUGAUAAGGGGCAGCAUCAGGAAAUGCGAGGCCCUAUUAGAGAAUUGUCAGUUGGGCCCUCUACUCUACUGAAGCUGAAGAUUGUUGUUUCAUGCCAGUCUCAGCCAAAGAUCAUUGAGGGUUGGAGGCUCCACCGUUAGCCGCAAUGUUUCCUGUCGUAUCGUCCCUGUUGCUAAAACCCUCAGUUACGAGGAUGUAAACAAAUUAAUACUGAUUAGAAGUGGACGAGGGGACAUAAAGAUACACACACACACACACACACACACACACACACACGAUGGGCUUCUAUACAGUUACUGUCUACCAAAUUCACUCACAAGGCAUUGAUCGAGUCAGGGCUAUAGUAGAUACUUGCCCAAAGUGACGCACAUUGGGACUGAACCAGAAACCACGCGGUUGCAAAGCGAGCUUCUUAACCGCACUGACCAAUGUCUUGUAAGUGGAUUUGGAUAUACGGAAACUGUGUAGAAGCCCGUCGUAUGCGCGCGCGUGUAUGUAUGCGUCUUUGUAUCCUCGUACCUUCCCCUCCAAGUGACAACUGAUGCUGGUUUGUUUACGUUCACCUAAUUUAGCAGUUCGGCAGAAUGGAGCGACAGAAUAAGUACCCAGUCUUAAAUAUAUGCACUGGGGUCAAUUUGUUCGACUAAACCAUUGAAGGCGGUUUCCCCAGCAUGGCCUCAGUCCAGUGACUGAAACAAGUAAAAGAUGCAUUACUUAGAGAAAUAUCGUCUUCUCUUUUCUUUUUGUUUUUUAUCUGCAGAAAAUGGCGUGUGGUGAUCUUUAUCAUGUCUAUGAAUUAUGCCCGUGGUUUAUUGUAUAAGCUUGCUGUUUAAGCAUAUUCAUAAACAUUUUUACACGUUAUAUAUUUCGGAAGACGAAGAUUCUGUGGUCUUCAAUUAUCAUGCGACUCAUUGGCUAAUAACCGAUGUUAUAAGUUCUAGCCACCAUCCUUAUAUCGCCUUGACGGAGCUAAAAAUCCACUCCUACAAGAAUUUGUCAUUAUAUCUUAUGCUAACCGAACAGUUUAAUGAACAAUAAUCAGUUCUCUCUCUCUCUUUCUCUCUCUCUCUCUCUCUCUCUCUCUCUCUCUCUCUUUCUCUCUCUAUGUCUCGCUAUCUUCCUUUGAUCUGAGGAGGACUGGCUGUUCUCAUAUGUCCUCUUAGACAAACUAGGAAGGUGAGGAUUUUACAACCGGAUAUUUGACUUACAUCAUCAAAGCAAUACCCCCCCUCCUCAAAACAACACACUCUCCCACCGCCGCCACCAUCACCACCACCACCACCACCACCACCACCACCAUGGGAUGAAGUAUUAGUAUUAUAUCAUAGGUCACUGAUCGACAUCUACCGCCAAUAAAACAAUUAUAAUUCAUACGAGUUAACGACAGAGCCUAUAACGUGGUCAGUCACUCCGCUAGAAAUAGCGGCCAAAUUCCCUCAACUCACAACCCACCGUCACAAUAUAAGCGGAGUAGACAUUGGUCUCGGCUCAUAAGGAUUCGAUCCAUAUAUUUGCAAACACGCGCGCACACGCACACACACAAACACACACACACACACAAACAGGCGCAAGCGUGGCUGUGUGGUAAGAAGCUUGCCUCUCAACCACAUGGUUCUGGAUUCAAUCCCACUGCGUGGCACCUUGGGCAAGUGUCUUCUACUAUAGCCUCGGGUCGACCAAAGUUAGUGGAUUUGGUAGACGGAACCUUAAAGAAGCCUAUCGUAUAUCGGUCUAAGCUGUCGUAACCAAGUUAAACAUAUACCAUCCCUACUAAUGAUAACUGGAAUUAUACUAAUCCUAGCAAUAUACUAAUCCUUAAAUCAAGAUUUUUAGCUGAGGACAUGUCAAGUACGAACUACAAAUUCUACCGACGCAUGCUCUGACCUCACGGCAAACACUUUCGAGUUUUACUAUGACCAACGUACGUACUCGUUCCCAAAUUCUAUCACCAUCAGUACCACUUCGUUUUCUAUCUAUAUCAAUUUGGGAUAUAGAUAGACACACACACACACACACACACACACACAUAUAUAUAUAUAUAUACAUACGACGGGUUUCUUUCAGUUUCCGUCUACCAAAUCCACUCACAAGGCUUUGGUAGGCCCGAGGCUAUAGUAGAAGACCCGGAGCUAUGUGGUUGGUAAUCAAGCUACUUACCACACAGCCACUCCUACGCCUAUAUGUUUAGAAUCUGUCAUCAUUUCCCAAAUCACUUCAGUUCUCAAAUAUAGAUAGAAAACGAAGUAUCCCAAAUUGAUAUAUACAAUUUAAUUUGGUGUGUUAUCUCGAAUGUAAAGUCAAAGCCUGAAUACAAGACACCAUGCGACCUGUGUACCACACAGAAUUAUGAAAUACUCUUUACUAAAGACUCCUUUCUUCACAGACUUCCCGAAAGACCAGCCUCUUGGCACUAUAAAUUUUUUAAAGUUUAGUAAUCCUUUCAACCUCUCUUAUAUCUCGAUAGGCAACCCUGUCUCUUAUAACAAAUGAUUUUCAUAGUUUCUAAUAUACACUUUGUCAUUCCCUUCCCUGUUGAAUAUUUAUCUCAGCAUAGACAAACACUAGAAUUAACCUUCCUUUCAAAUAUUAUGAACAUUUUUUAUUAAGCCCCAAUGUAAUAUUAUAUGCCCUGACUUACUGUAUUCGACCCAUCUCUCACUAAGCGGUUUAUAUCCCGUUGUCCACGUCAGUGUUUCGUGAAUAUGGUUUUUGUAUUACAGUAUAUACUCUUUACUCUUUUACUUGUUUCAGUCAUUUGACUGUGGCCAUGCUGGAGCACCACAUUUAGUCGAGCAAAUCGACCUCAGGACUUAUUCUUUGUAAGCCUAGUACUUAUUUUAUCGGUCUGUUUUGCCGAACCACUAAGUUACGGGGACGUAAACACACCAUCGGUAUUCAAGCGAUGUUGGGGGGACAAACACAGACACGCAAACAUAAACAGACAUAGACACACACACACACACACACACACACACACACAUACAUAUAUAUAUAAACUUAGAUAUGUUUCGACCAGAGAUUGGUCCAGGCCAUGUCUAACUUUAUAUAUAUAUAUAUAUAUAUAUAACGGGAAGCUUUAUGAAAAUAGACAAAAGACGAAGGCAGGUGGGAAACAAACAAACAAUUGUAUUAGUAUGGCGCUCAGGAAAUAUAAAUAAAACAAGUCUUUAACGUUUCGAGCCUACGCUCUUCAACAUAUACAUACAUACGAUGGGUUUCUUUCAGUUUCCGUCUACCAAAUCCACUCACAAGGCUUUGGUAGGCCCGAGGCUAUAGUAGAAAACCCGGAGCCAUGUGGUUGGUAAUCAAGCUACUUACGAGACAGCCACUCCUACGCCUAUAUGUUUAGAAUCAUGUAUAAUUUUAAUGUGCAGUGUUAUGUUUAUCUGUAUUGUAAACAAUUCACCGCUAUUGAAUGGGUGCGGCAUGUGUGUGGUUUAGCUGUAGCUAUAAUAAUGCCGGUCCCUCAAACGUCUCGGGUUCAGUCUCACUAUGCGCACUAGCGUAAGUAGGGAGCGGUUAGGGGCAGUUCGCCGCGGACGGCACUUUUGGGUAUGCUGUAGGCAAUAUAUGUUUUUUGUGGGGUCCGGGGUAGGCAAACGGAAGGGCCGCCCUGGGCUAUGCAACACCUUAUCUUUUAUCAAAGCCCCGUGCCAACCAAUACCUCGUGAGUGUUUCAUAGUAGGAAAUCGUGAAGAAGCUCGUCGUAUGUGUGUGUGUGCCUGUGUGUAUGUAUGUAUGUGUGCUUGUAUCUGUCCCCUCUCUCCACCACUUAACCGGUGUUGCUUUGUUUACGUCCCCGUAAUUUAGCGGUUCGGCAAAUAAUAUCAGUAGAUGAAGUACCAUACUGAAAAGCAAAACCAAAACAUAAGUAUUGCGGUCAAUUUGUUCGACUAAAUUCUUCGAGGCGGAACCCCAGCAUGGCCGCAGUGUAAUGACUGAAAAAACCUCUAAAGCGUAAUUCACGUGUACAUAUUUUGCGCUUGUCAAGAACAUACAUACACGCACGCCUGCGUACACACACACACAUAUAUAUAUAUAUUUCUUUUAUUCUUUUAUUUGUUUCAGUCAUGUGAAUGUGGUCAUGAUGGAGCACCGUCUUUUAGUCGAAGAAAUCGACCCCAGGACUUAUUCUUAGUAGGCGUGGUACUUGUUCUAUCGGUCUCUUUUGCCGAACCGCUAAUGUUAAACACACCAACAUCGGUUGUCAAGCGACGUGUGUGUGUGUGUGUAUGUAUGUACGAGUGGCUUCUUUUAGUUUCCAUCUGCCAAAUCCACUCACAAGGCUUUGGUCGGCCCUUCUUAUAAUAGAAGACACUUGCCCUAGGUGCCAUGCAGCGGGACUGAACCCAGAACCAUAUAAUUUGGAAGCAAGCUUCUUAUCACACAGCCACGCCUGCACACACGCGCGCGCGCACUUAUAUAUAUAUAUAUAUAUGGAGAGAGAGAGAGAGAGAGAGAGAGAGAGAGAGGGAGAGAAGGGGGAGAAAUAGGGAGAGAGAGAGAGCAUUAGGAUAAUUAUAUCUCCCUUGACAAUAUUUUUCUAUUAUAUGAGAACAACCAGCGCCGUUUAUAUGUCUUUAAGCCUUACCAACUGAAUAGAUGUGCUUCGCUGAUGAGAUCUAACAAGGUCGAAACAUCUGCGCUGCUAUCACAAUUUGAUUUUGAUAGUGGGAUGUAACCCUAACUGCAUUAUCCUUAUUUUCCAAAGAUUUGGAUUAGCUUACGUUGUGGGAGUUGUUUCUUUUUGUUUUAUGGAUUUGGGUAUUAAGUAUACCUUACGUAAAUUUUGUCUUCUUAUUACAAGGAUAAUUUCAGUUGAAGUUUUUAACUCACUGUUAUAAUAAUGCUGCAAUAAUGCUAUAAAAAUGCUAGUCCCUCAAACGUCUCAGUUUCAGUUUCACUAUGCGCACUAGUGUAGAUAGGGGCAGUUCGCCCCGAGCGGCACUUUUACAGGGGUAGCACUUUUGGGUCUGCUGUAGACAAUAUAUGUUUUUUGUGGUGUCUGUGUACAGAGGCAACAUUAUCGCAUGUUUUAUCAUGCAGAAUAGUACAGGUUUUUAAAAUUCAUACACAGAUAGCUAGAUAGCUAGAUAGAUAGAUAGAUACAUUUAUGUCUAUAUGUAUCUACAUAUAAACAUAAAUCUAUCUAUCUAUCUAUCUAUCUAUCUAUCUAUCUAUCUAUCUAUCUAUCUAUCUAUCUAUCUAUCUAUCUAUCUAUCUAUAAACACACAUGCACGCACGCACGCAUAAAAAUAUACAUACAUGCCUGCAUAUAUACGUAAAUGUUCGCGCGCAGGCACUCACACACACACAUACAUACAUUCAUAUAUACAUACAUACUAGUACCAUUUAAAUAUUUGCGGUUCAUCAUAGCAGCUGACGUGGAACGGAGAGGUCGCCUCAAAGUUCAAUGGGCCGUGAAUAAACUAAAUAUCAACAGAUUGACUUUAUAGGAGUUUAUAUAUAUAUAUAUAUAUAUAUAUAUAUAUUGCAAAUAAGAAAAUGGAGAAUAUAUACAAUAAUUGGUUCAUAUAUAUAUAUAUAUAUAUAUAUAUAUAUAUAUAUAUAUAUAUAUAUAUAUAUAUAUAUAUAUAUACACGCUUUUACUUGUUUCAGUCAUUUGACUGCAGCCAUGCUGGAGCACCGCUUUUAGUCGAGCAAACUGACCCCAGGACUUAUUAUUUGUAAGCCUAGUACUUAUUCUAUCGGUCUCUUUUGCUGAACCGUUAAGUUAUGUGGAUGUAAACACACCAGAUGUUGGGGGUGGGGGACAUAUAUAUAUAUAUAUACAUAUAUACGACAGGCUUCUUUCAGUUUCCGUCUUCCAAAUCCACUCACAAUAUUUUGGUCGGCCCGAGGCUAUAGUAGAGGACACUUACCCAAGGUGCCACGCAGUGGGACUGAACCCGGAACCAUGUGGUUGGUAAGCAAGCUACUUACCACACAGCCACUCCUGCACAUAUAUGCAUAUAUAUGCCACUAGCUGGCGUAUACAGGUGCUUACACUUAUCAAGUAUUCACCCUAAAUUUUGCAGUACCUACUUCAUAUGUAUAUAUAUAUAUAUAUAUAUAUAUAUAUAUAUAUAUAUAUAUAUAUAUAUAUAUAUAUAUCUCUGAACGAGAGGUAAACAGUAACAGUACAGCUUCGUAAAAUAUAUUCACCAACUAAAUGUGGCAGUUCCACAGAGGACAAUGUUACUAUUGUUUUUAGCCCCAGGUAGACAUCUCCUCUUGCUGGCCAUUGACACACUGAGUCCGAUUAGCAUUUGCGAGUUUUCUAUGGGACCGCCACAUUUAGUUGGCAAAUGUAUGUAUGUAUGUAUGUAUGUAUGUAUGUAUGUAUGUAUGUAUGUAUGUAUGUAUGUAUGUACGUAUGUAUGUAUGUAUGUGUGUAUGUGUGUGUAUGUAUGUAUGUAUGUAUGUAUGUGUGUGUGUAUGUAUGUAUGUAUGUAUGUAUGUAUGUAUGUAUGUGUGUGUGUGUGUGUGUAUGUAUGUGUAUGUGUGUAUGUAUGUAUGUAUGUAUGUAUGUAUGUGUGUGUAUGUAUGUAUGUAGUGUGUGUAUGUGUGUGCGUAUGUAUGUAUAUAUGUAUGUGUGUAUGUAUGUAUCGUGGGAAUAGAAUAUUGUAAAUAUUUAUAUAUUCUCAAGAGAAACAUAUCCAUAUUUCGCGGAUAGCAGCAAAAAAUUUCUUGGGAAUAUAGAUAAGAAUUUGGGGCAUGGGUUUGAAGUUCGCGUUGUAUUGGAAGCCUGGGAUUAACAAUUUUAUGUGUGUGUGUGUGUGUGUAACGAAAACACACAGACAUGCCGGUGCGUACCCGUGGAAUAUUCCUCGAGGGAUAAAUACUUGAUUAUAGCUAAUUACUGGAGGUAAAGUGUAUUUAAAGGAAUUUAUCUAAUAAAAUAUACUUUCGUCAUUCUUCGCGUUUCAUUUGAUAAAGCGGAACGCGUUUAUAAUUUCGUUAUUCAAUUUAGAAAUCGCAUAUUGUUCAUUCAAGCGAAGUCAUUUCAAGUAUAUUGCUCUUAUUUUAUUACACAUGCGCGCGCGCGUGCACAUAGCUACCUAGGUAGGUAGGUAGGUAGGUAGGUAGGUUAGGUAGGUAGGUAGGUUAGGUAGGUAGGUAGAUAGAUAGAUAGAUAGAUAGAUAGAUAGAUAGAUAGAUAGAUAGAUAGACAGGUAGAUAGACAGGUAGUUAGAUAGAUAGAUAGAUAGAUAGAUAAAUAGACAGAUAGACAGGUAGAUAGAUAGAUGAUAGAUAGAUAGAUAGAUAGACAGAUAGACAGGUAGAUAGAUAGAUAGAUAGAUAGAUAGAUAGAUAGAUAGAUAGAUAGAUAGAUAGAUAGAUAGAUAGAUAGAUAGAUAGAUAGAUGAUAGAUAGAUAGAUAGAUAGCUGAUAGAUAGAUAGACAGAUAGAUAGAUAGAUGAUAGAUAGAUAGAUAUUGGCGUGUUGUAGUUUUAGUGAAGUAAUACACCAGCAUUCCGUCGGUUACGACGACAAGCGUUCCAGUUGAUCCGAUCAACGGAACAGCCUGCUCGUGAAAUUAACCGUCAAGUGACUGAGCACUCCACAGACACGCGUACCCUUAAUGUAAUUCUAAGGGUGAUUCAGCGUGGCAGAGCGCGACAAGACUGCUCCUUUGAAAUACAGACACUACUCACUUUUGCCAGCUGAGUGGACUGGGGCAAUGUGAAAUAAAGUGUCUUGCUCAAGGACACAACGUGUCGCCAGUUUUCGAACUUACAAUCUUGUGAUCGUGAGCCGAAUGCCAUAACCUCUAAGCCACGCGCCUUCAGUGAAAUAAUAUGUAGCGAAGCAAAAUAUAUCUGACUGUGACCUGGUUUUCAUAAAAAUAAUAAUAGUUUUUAUCUCACUUUUUGUUUCCUUCAUCGUUAACUGACCGUCCUCUCUUCUGAAGACAUCACGCCAAAAAAUUUCCCUUGUUUCCCCCCGAAAUCACCAUUUGUUUUUACACAUGCAAUUUCUCAGACACAUAUUUAAGAAGAAAUAAAUAUUUCCACUGCUUUAGAUUGAACAUUAUUCGCAUUAAUUCAUAUGUAUUCUCUUUUAAUUGUUUCUUCUCUUCGAUUUAAUUUAUCUAAACCAAAUCAACCAGAUGCCAUCACCCUCCGGCUUAUCGACUGCAGACGAUCACGUCAUUUCCUUGUCGUCUGACAAACAUUUCUUCGAAACAUAGUUGAUAAAGUAGGUUCUGGUAUAGAUAUAACAAAUUUUACUGACUCAGAUGUCGUAAUCGGUUUAUUUAUCAUUAAAAAAAAAAUCUUCUCCGAUAUUACUGUUUCUUUACAUAUGAUUGAAGCAGACUAUAACAGGCGAGCUGGUAGAAUCGUUAGCGCGCCGAACGAAAUGCCGUUAAGCAUUUUCGUCCGUCUUUACGUUCUGAGUUCAAAUUCCAUUGAGGUCGACCUUGCCUUUCAUCCUCUCGGGAUCGAUGGAAUAAGCACCAGGUGAUCACUGGGGUUAAUGUAAUCGACUGGCCUCCUAAAAAUUCAGGCCUCGUGCCUAUGGUAAAUAAGAAGGAUUAUAAAAUAACAUUUACAUAUAGGAAUAUGGCAGCGAACUGGCAGAAUCGUCAGCCCCUCCGGACGAAACAGGUCUAUUUCAUGCCUUUACGUUCAGAGUUCAAAUUCGGCCAAAGUAGUCUUUGCCCUUCAUCCUUUCGGGGUCAAUAAAAUAAGUACCAGCUGAACACUGUGAUUGAUAAUCAACUUCCCCUACCCCUUAAAAUUGUAUGAGCGUUUGUCCUACUCUCAACGCUUGACAACUAGUGUUGGUUUGUUUACGUCACCGUGAAUUAGAGUUUCGAUAGAAACAACCAAUAGGAUAGGUGCGAAGCUUUAAAAAGAAAUUGGGAUCGCUUUAUUCGACUAAACCCUUCGAGGCGCUGCUCCAGCAUGGCAGCAGUCCAAUGACAAAAACAAGAAAAAGGAAGUAAAAAAUUAAGAUUAGUGUAUGUUUGUGUGUGAUCUUUUAGAAAAGAGGGAAAGCAGUACUCAUAAGUCUUCAGAGUUUCCGAAACUGUUGGAACCAGGGAGGAAGUUAUCCGCAAACCGGAGACUUACCCUCGAAUUCUUUACGAACAGAGUGAACUCUGCUUGAGAUACUCGAAGUAUAAAAGGUGAGGGUUGUUAAAUCAAACAGCAAACUAAAAAAAAUCCUUUAAGGCGCAGGAGUGGCUGUGUGGUAAGUAGCUUGCUAACCAACCACAUGGUUCCGGGUUCAGUCCCACUGCCUGGCA